CCUACGGGAGGCAGCAGUAGGGAAUCUUCGGCAAUGGGGGCAACCCUGACCGAGCAACGCCGCGUGAGUGAAGAAGGUUUUCGGAUCGUAAAACUCUGUUGUUAGAGAAGAACGUUACGUAGAGUGGAAACUUACUUAAGUGACGGUAUCUAACCAGCCAGGGCCGGCUAACUACGUGCCAGCAGCCGCGGUAAUACGUCGGUCCCAAGCGUUGUCCGGAUUUAUUGGGCGUAAAGCGAGCGCAGGUGGUUUCUGAAGUCGGGUCGAAAAGGCAGUGGCUCAACCAUUGUGUGCAUUGGAAACUGGGGGACUUGAGUGCAGGAGAGGAGAGUGGAAUUCCAUGUGUAGCGGUGAAAUGCGUAGAUAUAUGGAGGAACACCGGAGGCGAAAGCGGCUCUCUGGCCUGUAACUGACGCUGAGGCUCGAAAGCGUGGGGAGCAAACAGGAUUAGAUACCCCUGUAGUC
rnacentral:rRNA from 1 species